GUGAGUCAUCGAAUCUUUGAACGCACCUUGCGCUCCCUGGUAUUCCUAGGAGCAUGCCUGUUUGAGUGUCAUGAAUCCCUCAAAUUCCCAAUGUUUUUUAAAAAGAAGCGUUGCUUGGAUUUGGUUGUGGGCCCUUGCAGUCUUUCACGAGUCUGCUGGCCUUAAAGAUAUUAGCUGGACCUCUCUAAUCUCUAAGCAGAGUACUUCCAUUUGAUGUAAUAAAAUUGCAUUGGUGGAAGCUCGACUUGGUACCUAGAGGAAGUCUGCUUCUUAACCCGGCGCGAGUGGCAACACUCAACCCACUAUUUCAUAACUCUGGCCUCAAAUCAGGUAGGACUACCCGCUGAACUUAA
rnacentral:rRNA from 1 species